rnacentral:rRNA from 1 species
UGGGGAAUUUUGGACAAUGGACGCAAGUCUGAUCCAGCCAUGCCGCGUGCGGGAAGAAGGCCUUCGGGUUGUAAAGCUCUUUCAGACGGAAAGAAAUCUCUUGGGCGAAUACCCUGGGAGGAUGACGGUACCGUAAGAAGAAGCACCGGCUAACUCCGUGCCAGCAGCCGCGGUAAUACGGAGGGUGCUAGCGUUAAUCGGAAUUACUGGGCGUAAAGCGCACGCAGGCGGUCUGUCAAGUCGGAUGUGAAAUCCCCGGGCUCAACCUGGGAACUGCAUUCGAAACUGGCAGGCUAGAGUCUUGUAGAGGGGGGUAGAAUUCCAGGUGCAGCGGUGAAAUGCGUAGAGAUCUGGAGGAACACCGAUGGCGAAGGCAGCCUCCUGGGCCAGUACUGACGCUCAUGCACGAAAGCGUGGGGAGCAAACA